rnacentral:lncRNA from 1 species
GGAAUAGAUGGUGAGGGAUUUAGAUUAUUUCUUCCUUUAAUAUUCAGUGGAAUUCACCAGUUGAGUCAUCUGAAUCUGGGCUUUUAUUUCCUGAAAGGAUUUUAAUUACUAAUUUAAUUUUAUUAUUUGUUAUAGAUGUAUUGAGAUUUUCUAUUUCUUUUUGAGUCAGUUUUGGAAAUUUGGAUCUAAGAAUUUGUACCUUAUAAAACGUCUAAUUUGUGACAUAAAGUUGUUCAUAAUAUUCUCUCAUACUCCUUUAAUUUCUGUAUCUACAUUUCUUGUUUUGGUAAAUUCUUGCUUGGAAUGCUAGCUAAAGGAUUGUCAAUUUUGUUGAUCUUUUAAAGAGCCAGAUUGACAAAAUUCUGGUUUUAUUAAUUUUUGUGUUUUGUAUUUUGUUGGUAUGUGUUCUAACCUUUAUUAUUUCCUUUCUUUUGCAUGGUUUCUUCUUUUUUAGUGUCUUGAGGUUGAAACCUAAGUUAUUGAUGUGAGACUUCUCUUCCACUACAGGUGUUUAACAGUAUAAAUUUCUUUCUAAGAACUGCUUUAGGCACAUCCUAUACAGUUUGAUAUACUAUUUAAAUUUUUCAUUUACUUCAAAAUACUUUCUAAUUUUCCUUCCAAUUUAUUUUUUGACUUAUGUGUUAUUCAGACAUGUGUCAUUUAAUUUCCAAAUAUUUGUGGAUAUCCCAGAUAUACUCUGUUCUUGAUAUUUCACAUUCCACUGUGGUUGGAGAACAUAUUUAUAUUAUUUCAUUCCUGUUUAAUUUAUUGAUAUUUGUUUAUGGCUGAAUACACGGUCUAUCCUAGAGAAUGUUCCAUGUGCUGUUGAAAAGAAUGUGUAUUCUGUAUUUAUUGAAUGGAGCAUUUUAUAUAUGUCACUUAAAUUACUUUGGUUGAUAGUGUUUUUCAGAUCUUUCUUCUGUAACCUUGCUGAUUUUGUUUCAUUUUUUUUCUAUUAUUUUUGGACAUUAGGAAAUUGAAAUUCCCAACUAUUAUUGUUGUAUUGUCUAUUUCUCCUUUCAUUUCUAUCAGAUAUUGCUUCAUGUACUUUGAAGUUCUGUUAUUAUAUUUGUAUGCAUUUAUAAUAUUAUUGACAUUUUAUCAUUUGGAUUUGUCCCUCUUUAUCUCUAGUAAUAUUUCUUGUUUUAAAAUCUACCUUGUCUAGUAUUAAUACAACCACGUCAGCAGGUUACUACUUGCAUAACAUAUCUUUCCCAUCCUUCUACUUUCAAUGAAUAUGUGUCUUUAAAUCUAAGAUAUGUCUUUUGUAGCUUGUUUAUAGUUGGAUCUUGCUGUAUUAUCCAUUUUGUCAAUCUCUGUUUUCUAAUUGAGUUGUUUAGACUAUUUACAUUUAGUGCAGUUAUUGAUAGGGUCAGAGUUACAUUUGCCAUUUUGCUAUUUGUUUUCUGUUUUCAGUCUUCUUUGUUCUUCUGUUCUCCCUUUAAUGACUUGUGUAAAAUAUUUUAGUAAAUUAUUUUAAUUCUUUUAUUGAUUUUUACUACAUUUUUGAAUUAUUUUCCUAGUGUCUGAACUUCGUAUUCCAAUAUACAUCUUAACUUAUUGCAGUCUAUUUGAAAUUAAUAUUAACUGAAUUCCCAUGAAACAUAGAAUGUUUUCUACAAUGUAACUCUAUUCUUUUCUUUUCUUGAGUAAUUGUUUUAAUAUAUAUUACAUCUAUAUGCCUUACAAACCAACAAUACAGUGUUAUAAUUAUUUAUUUAUACAAUCUUAUGCAUUUUAAAGAAUUUAAUAGAAGAAAUGAGAAAAUAUAUUUAUAAAUUCUUUUAUUCUUAAUCUAGAUAUUUAUUACUCCUGGUACUUUUCAUUUCUUCCAGUUGAUUUGUGCUAGUGUCUAAUGUCAUUUUCUUCUAGCCCAAAGAAUUUACUUUAGUAUUUCUCAUAAAUCAGUUCUGAUAGCAAGGAAUUCUCCUAGCCUUUUAAAAUUCAGAAAUGUCCUUAUUUCACCUUUAUAACUGGUGGAUAGUUUUGCUGGAUAAAAAAUUCUUCAUUAGCAGUUUUUCUUUCAGUAUUUUGAAUAUGUUAUUCCACUGCCUUCUUGAGUCCAUUUUCUCUGGUGAUAAGCUAGGCUUUUAUUUAUAGUGAUGCUCUCCAGUAUGUAUUAAGUUGUUUUUCUCUUUCUACUUUUAAGAUUUUUCUCUUUGUGUGUGGCUUUCAACAUUUUGACUACAGUGUGUUUGGGUACACAACUCUGUGUAUUUAUCCUACUUAGGAUUCAUUAAGCUUCUUGGAUGAGUAAAUUAACAUUUUUCAUCAGUUAGGAAGUUUGGGCCAUUAUUCUUCAAAAAAUAACAAUAACAAUUGGAGUCACAAUUUGAGGAAGCAUAUUAGAUGAAACUUGAUACAUUUAGUGCAAAAGUCUAGGGACCUUGAAAUUGGAAUGAGUACAUGUCUUUGGAUUCAGAUAUAGCCUGAAUACAUUGAGCAUGAUGAGUACACCUUGAUCUCAUAAGCAGUUGUUUCUCCCCAUGUGAGACAGUUUCUACAUUGCUGGUACACAACUAUUAGAUAAAUCUCAAAAUCAUUAUCCUGAGUGGAAAAAAAAAGACAUACAGAAGAAUAUGCACCAUAUGAUUCCUUCUGCAUGAAACACUAGAAAAUACAAAGCUAACCUAUAGUGACCAAAAUGGAGGGGGACAAUUCCUAGAUGGAAGUGACUGAACAGUUUCAAAAGUGAUCCAAUAUAUUUGGGCUCUCAAUAGAUGGAAAUUAUUUUAAGUAUUCAUUCUGAUAAGGCUUGAAUACAAGAAUAUCUUCAAGAGGGACAUUAUACUUCUGAAUCUUUUAUAAAAUUCUACGCAUAGGAGGAUGGAUGCCAAAUAAAUACACCUUCUCCCCCAAACCCUACUAGGAUGGACUCAAUGUGAGGUCAAGAUCAAGGUGAAGAUAUUCACUUAGGCAGAUUUACCAAGCAUCCAGGAAGCCUAAUGUUAUUAUCAGAGGAGAAGGAUAUGGCCAAGCAUCUGCUACUAGUUGGUCAGAGCAGAUAUUCUCUGCUCUGUACACCUUACCUGGCAAAUUAGACACUUGAAGCUUGUGAGGCAGUUCAGGAUUGUUGUACCUGAAAUGCUCUCUGAAGUUUUAAGGCCUCUAAGGUUGACUAAAAGUUACUGUUUAUUAGCAAAUAUGAAAAAGAAGUGAUUAACUGACUUCUAACAGUGGCGCUCUCAUUUCUUUCUCACCUAAUACUAAGGAGUGAUCCUAAUAUAACUCAUCCCUCUUCUAGGGGAGUGCACACUCUCCUCAGGGUCUGCCUGUACAACCUCCCUUACUGACUCCAGGCGCAUAGUGGGAAUUUAAAAACCAACUAUGCUUGGAGGGAAAAUUGCAAGGUCUAAUCCAGAAAAAAAAAACACACACAAAAGGAACUCAAGAUCUUUCUCAAUACUAAAUGCUGCAAUCAAAAUACAUAUGGUAGCUGAUUGGAUGAAAAAACCAAAAUCCAUCUAAGAGACUCACUUCAGAGCUAAAGAUACACAAAGAUUGGAAGUGAGGGGAUGGGAAAAGCUAUCUCAUGCAAAUAGAAAUGACAAGAAAGCAGGAGUAGCAAUACACAUAUAAGAUAAAGUAGACUUUAAAAAAAAGUCUAUUACAAAAGACAAAGAAGAGCAUUAUAUUUUAAAUAAAUUUAUUUAUUUAUUUGUUUUUAUUUUUGGCUGUGUUGGGUCUUCUUUGCUGUAUGCGGGCUUUCUCUAGUUGCAGCGAGUGGUGCGCGGGCUUCUCAUUGUCGUGGCUUCUCUUGUUGCAGAGCAUGGGCUCUAGGCAUCUGGGCUUCAGUUGUUGUGACACACGGGCUCUAGAGCGCAGGCUUAGUAGUUGUGGCACCCGGGCUUAGUUGCUCGGCGGCAUGUGGAAUCUUCCCGGGCCAGGGAUCAAACCCGUGUCCUCUGCAUUGGCAGGCAGAUUCCCAACCACAGCACCACCAGGGAAGCCCAGAAAGGCAUUAUUUAAUGAUACAGGGAUCAAUACAAGAAGAAGUUAUAAUAUUUGUAAACAUAUGUGCACCUAAUAUAGGAACACCUAAAUAUAUAAAGCAAAUAUUAACAGACAUAAAAGGGAGAAAUUUACAAUAAUACAAUAAUAGUAGGGGAAUUUAACACCAACUUACAUCACUGAAAAGAUCAUACAGACAGAAAUUCAAUACAGAAACAUUGGCCUUAAAUGACAUAUUAGACCAGUUGGAAUUAAUAGAUAUCUACAGGACAUUCAAUCCCCAAUAAAAACAUAAUACACAAUAUUUUCAAAUGCAUGUGGAACAUUCUCCAGGAUAGAUCCCAUGAUAGGCCACAAAACAAGUCUCAACAAAUUAAAGAAGAUAGAAAUUUUACCAAACAUCAUUUCUGACUACAACGGUAUGAAACUAGAAAUCAGUUACAGGAUGAAAAGUGGAAAAAACACAAACACAUGGAGAUUAGACAACAUGCUAUUAAAAAACCAAUGGGUCAACAAACAAAGAGCAAGUCAGAAAAUAUCUUGAGACAAAUGAAAAUUAAAUGCAACUUUCCAGAAGCAGUUCUAAGAGGGAAGUUUAUAGCAAUACAGGCUUACCUCAAGAAAUAAGAAAAAUAUCAAAUAAACAACCUAAGCUACCAUCU